UACGGAGGGUGCGAAGCGUUGUCCGGAUUUACUGGGUUUAAAGGGUGUGUAGGCGGACUUUUAAGUCAGGGGUGAAAUCCCGAGGCUCAACCUCGGAACUGCCUUUGAUACUAUUGGUCUUGAAUCUUGUUGAGGUGGGCGGAACGGGUCAUGUAGCGGUGAAAUGCAUAGAUAUGACCCGGAACACCGAUUGCGAAGGCAGCCCGCUAAGCAAGCAUUGACGCUGAGGCACAAAAGCGUGGGGAUCAAACAGG
rnacentral:rRNA from 1 species